AAAGUGCGAUAAGCGUCACGACUUGCAGAUUCCAGAGAGCUGACAAGUUUCUGAAUGCAAAUUGCGGUCCGAUCCUUGAGAUUCGGCCAUGUGCUGCAGAGUGUAAUUGCUUUGGCAAAUCAUCAAUUUUCCAAUUGGAUUUGUCGCUGUUUUGCACAGCGAUGAAAUGGGCGCUUGGACUAAGGCUGUUCCAAGGGCCGCAUUUACAUGUGGAUCCCAAAGAAACAGUCACUGUUUACAGCGCCACCCUUCUCCUUUGUUACCUCUGCAGUGCAGGAGAACCCGCGAACUUAA
rnacentral:misc_RNA from 1 species